GUCUUGGUCGAUUAGUGGUUAAAUCAUCUCGUUGUGGA
rnacentral:tRNA from 1 species